rnacentral:lncRNA from 1 species
CUUAAUGUAGAAGCCUAGAAGGAAGGUGAAGGCUUCUCCAGGCAGUGUAUUGACUUAAUAUAGGUGACUGUUAUCUUUAUUUGCAUCUAUGCAGGGAAGUGAUGGUGCUAAGGCAUAACAUCUUGCCUCCUAGCCUCAUGUUGUCUAAACUGCUGGAGCCUAAGUAUGUUGAGACUUGGUGAAAAUGUCAUAGCCUGGAGAUGAAGCUAGGCUAGCUGCCCCUCAGCUGCUGGAGAGAAGAAACAUCUUGGGACAAAAUGAUGAUGGCCGUAGUGAAUGAUGAUGUCCCUGGUUUGGGCAAUCCCAAGCUCAUGAGUGGAAGGAAUACAGUGCUAGAUGAUAUUAUCAAGCACUGAAUAAUAAUCGGAUUCAUAAAAUCUGUGGCUUUCCACCUUGAUGCAGAAGACCUUCAGUGAGGAACUGAAUGGUUUCCCAUGAAUGGGAAACCCAGACAGUGUGGUGCUCCAGAUUACUUUAAUAUGUUUUUCCUGGAACGAGGAUGCACCAGCAGUUCAUGCUCUGCAGGUAUGGCUGCAACACCCGAUGGGGUGAUAACUGCAAUCAGCUCUUUUCCAGCCUGGCUUAACUUGCAGUUCUCAUAAAACUGGAGAUGGGCCAUUUGGUUUAUUGGCGAUUCAAAUACUAGCAGAAUAGGGCUAUGUUUGCCAGUCCACAAACUUCAGGCAUUAGGCUGUUCCCGGCAAUACCAGUCUGCUGUAUUAU